rnacentral:rRNA from 1 species
GACGAACGCUGGCGGCGUGCUUAACACAUGCAAGUCGAACGGAAAGGCCCUGCUUUUGUGGGGUGCUCGAGUGGCGAACGGGUGAGUAACACGUGAGUAACCUGCCCUUGACUUUGGGAUAACUUCAGGAAACUGGGGCUAAUACCGGAUAGGAGCUCCUGCUGCAUGGUGGGGGUUGGAAAGUUUCGGCGGUUGGGGAUGGACUCGCGGCUUAUCAGCUUGUGGGUGGGGUAGUGGCUUACCAAGGCUUUGACGGGUAGCCGGCCUGAGGGGGUGACCGGCCACAUUGGGACUGAGAUACGGCCCAGACUCCUACGGGAGGCAGCAGUGGGGAAUAUUGCACAAUGGGCGGAAGCCUGAUGCAGCAACGCCGCGUGCGGGAUGACGGCCUUCGGGUUGUAAACCGCUUUCGCCUGUGACGAAGCGUGAGUGACGGUAAUGGGUAAAGAAGCACCGGCUAACUACGUG